GCCGAAGUGGCGGAACGGCAGACGCGCCCGCCUCAAAAGCGGGUGAGGGUAGCCUCAUGUGGGUUCGAAUCCCACCUUCGGCA
rnacentral:tRNA from 1 species